rnacentral:snoRNA from 1 species
CUGUAGCCAAUUAAGCUGACCAGGUUCCUUUCCUCAUGGUGGCCUGAUGUGCAAUGUCUUGGGAGUGUAGUAACCUGUUGCUUGUACAAGUUGCCCUAAGGGAUCUUGGUGGCAGUU